rnacentral:rRNA from 1 species
UACGGAGGGUGCGAGCGUUGUCCGGAAUCAUUGGGCGUAAAGGGCGCGUAGGUGGCCCGGUCAGUUCGUGGUGAAAGCGCGGGGCUCAACCUCGCGUCGGCCAUGAAUACUGCCGCGGCUGGAGCACUGUAGAGGCAGGCGGAAUUCCGGGUGACGCGGUGGAAUGCGUAGAUAUCGGAGGACACCGGUGGGCGAAGGCGCGAUC